rnacentral:rRNA from 1 species
GACGAACGCUGGCGGCGCGCCUAACACAUGCAAGUCGAACGAGCGAGAGAGAGCUUGCUUUCUCGAGCGAGUGGCGAACGGGUGAGUAACGCGUGAGGAACCUGCCCCAAAGAGGGGGACAACAGUUGGAAACGACUGCUAAUACCGCAUAAGCCCACGGUGCCGCAUGGCACAGAGGGAAAAGGAGCAAUCCGCUUUGAGAUGGCCUCGCGUCCGAUUAGCUAGUUGGUGAGGUAAUGGCCCACCAAGGCGACGAUCGGUAGCCGGACUGAGAGGUUGAACGGCCACAUUGGGACUGAGACACGGCCCAGACUCCUACGGGAGGCAGCAGUGGGGAAUAUUGCACAAUGGGGGAAACCCUGAUGCAGCGACGCCGCGUGGAGGAAGAAGGUCUUCGGAUUGUAAACUCCUGUUGUUGGGGAAGAUAAUGACGGUACCCAACAAGGAAGUGAUGGCUAACUACGUA